AACUUUCAACAAUGGAUCACUUGGCUCUCGCAUCGAUGAAGAACGCAGCGAAAUGCGAAAAGUAAUGUGAAUUGCAGAAUUCAGUGAAUCAUCGAAUCUUUGAACGCAUCUUGCGCUCCUUGGUAUUCCGAGGAGCAUGCCUGUUUGAGUGUCCUUUUAACUUCUCAACCACAUCAGAUAUGUUGAUGCUGGCUUGGAUUGUGGGGGUUGUUUUGCAGGCCUUCUGUAGAAGAAGGUCGGGUGCCCUGCAAAGUAAUAGGCGUAGUUGAGGCUACUACUAUGGGUGUGGAAACUAUCUAUUACUGUGGGCUGGCGCAUGAACAGAUUACACUGAUUCUAUACAAAAAUUAUUAUGAUGAAUAUGAACUCAAAUCAGGUAGGACUACCCGCUGGACUUAAGCAUAGCAAUAAGCGGAGGCU
rnacentral:misc_RNA from 1 species